AAAAUUAAAUGGUUUCUACUGAUUAAACAAUACAAUUCAAAUGAAUUAACAACAGCCAUGAAACUGAGGCUCAUCUAUUGCACUCCAGAUGUGCUGACCCCUGCGAUUCCACCAAAUGUGGGAAACUCAACUUCAAAAUUUGUGGUAGUGGGGAACGGUGUUCACACUCCCCCCCC
rnacentral:snRNA from 1 species